AUCUAGCUGACAAAUCCCUAAUAGGACGAAACGCAUGUCUUGGAU
rnacentral:hammerhead_ribozyme from 1 species